rnacentral:tRNA from 1 species
GGCAGGACGGCUCUAUGGUUAAGGCACUGGACUAGGACUCAGUAGACCUGGCUUCAAGUCCCAGUUCUGCCA